rnacentral:rRNA from 1 species
ACGGGUGAGUAACGCGUGGGAAUCUACCGUGCCCUGCGGAAUAGCUCCGGGAAACUGGAAUUAAUACCGCAUACGCCCUACGGGGGAAAGAUUUAUCGGGGUAUGAUGAGCCCGCGUUGGAUUAGCUAGUUGGUGGGGUAAAGGCCUACCAAGGCGACGAUCCAUAGCUGGUCUGAGAGGAUGAUCAGCCACAUUGGGACUGAGACACGGCCCAAACUCCUACGGGAGGCAGCAGUGGGGAAUAUUGGACAAUGGGCGCAAGCCUGAUCCAGCCAUGCCGCGUGAGUGAUGAAGGCCUUAGGGUUGUAAAGCUCUUUCACCGGAGAAGAUAAUGACGGUAUCCGGAGAAGAAGCCCCGGCUAACUUCGUGCCAGCAGCCGCGGUAAUACGAAGGGGGCUAGCGUUGUUCGGAAUUACCGGGCGUAAAGCGCACGUAGGCGGAUAUUUAAGUCAGGGGUGAAAUCCCAGAGCUCAACUCUGGAACUGCCUUUGAUACUGGGUAUCUUGAGUAUGGAAGAGGUAAGUGGAAUUCCGAGUGUAGAGGUGAAAUUCGUAGA